rnacentral:ncRNA from 2 species
ACAUAAAAACAGGGGCGCUGAGGGGCAUCCUCGGCUGAGAUCGAAGCGAACCGCAGCUUCGGGUCACCUCGAACCUGAUCCGGAUAAUGCCGGCGUAGGAAGUUUGACCCACUAUAGA